rnacentral:rRNA from 1 species
GACGGAGGGCGCAAGCGUUGUUCGGAAUUACUGGGCGUAAAGCGCGGGCAGGCGGUCUGUUAAGUCGUUUGUGAAAACCCGGGGCUCAACCCCGGGAAUGCGUACGAUACUGGCAGGCUGGAGACCGGUAGAGGCUAGCGGAAUUCCUGGUGUAGCGGUGGAAUGCGUAGAUAUCAGGAAGAACACCUGUGGCGAAGGCGGCUAGCUGGGCCGGGUCUGACGAUCAUCCGCGAAAGAGUGGGGAGCAAACAGG